rnacentral:rRNA from 1 species
GACGAACGCUGGCGGCGUGCUUAACACAUGCAAGUCGAACGGAAAGGCCCUGCUUUUGUGGGGUGCUAGAGUGGCGAACGGGUGAGUAACACGUGAGUAACCUGCCCUUGACUUUGGGAUAACUUCAGGAAACUGGGGCUAAUACCGGAUAGGAGCUCCUGCUGCAUGGUGGGGGUUGGAAAGUUUCGGCGGUUGGGGAUGGACUCGCGGCUUAUCAGCUUGUUGGUGGGGUAGUGGCUUACCAAGGCUUUGACGGGUAGCCGGCCUGAGAGGGUGACCGGCCACACUGGAAUUGAGACAGGGGCCAGAGGACUAAGGGAGGGAGCAGGGGGGAAUUGGGGGCAAGGGGCGGAAGCAGGAGGCAGCGAGGCCGCGUGAGGGAAGAAGGGCGGCGGUGUGGAAACGGCGGUGACGAGGAACGAAACGGCGGGGGGGAAGACAAGGGGCGAAUGACGGUACAGAAAAAGAAAGCAACGGAUAACUACGUG